AUUGAACGCUGGCGGCAUGCCUUACACAUGCAAGUCGAACGGCAGCACGGGAGCAAUCCUGGUGGCGAGUGGCGAACGGGUGAGUAAUAUAUCGGAACGUGCCCGGUCGUGGGGAUAACGUAGCGAAAGCUACGCUAAUACCGCAUACGAUCUACGGAUGAAAGCGGGGGAUCGCAAGACCUCGCGCGAUUGGAGCGGCCGAUAUCAGAUUAGGUAGUUGGUGAGGUAAAGGCUCACCAAGCCGACGAUCUGUAGCUGGUCUGAGAGGACGACCAGCCACACUGGGACUGAGACACGGCCCAGACUCCUACGGGAGGCAGCAGUGGGGAAUUUUGGACAAUGGGCGCAAGCCUGAUCCAGCAAUGCCGCGUGCAGGAUGAAGGCCUCGGUUGU
rnacentral:rRNA from 1 species